UGCGGAGGGAUCAUUAUAGAGUUUUCUAAACUCCCAACCCAUGUGAACUUACCAUUGUUGCCUCGGCAGAAGCUGCUCGGUGCACCUUACCUUGGAACGGCCUACCCUGUAGCGCCUUACCCUGGAACGGCUUACCCUGCAACGGCUGCCGGUGGACUACCAAACUCUUGUUAUUUUAUGGUUAUCUGAGCGUCUUAUUUUAAUAAGUCAAAACUUUCAACAACGGAUCUCUUGGUUCUGGCAUCGAUGAAGAACGCAGCGAAAUGCGAUAAGUAAUGUGAAUUGCAGAAUUCAGUGAAUCAUCGAAUCUUUGAACGCACAUUGCGCCCAUUAGUAUUCUAGUGGGCAUGCCUGUUCGAGCGUCAUUUCAACCCUUAAGCCUAGCUUAGUGUUGGGAGCCUACUGCUUUUGCUAGCUGUAGCUCCUGAAAUACAACGGCGGAUCUGCGAUAUCCUCUGAGCGUAGUAAUUUUUAUCUCGCUUUUGACUGGAGUUGCAGCGUCUUUAGCCGCUAAACCCCCCAAUUUUUAAUGGUUGACCUCGGAUCAGGUAGGAAUACCCGCUGAACUUAAGCAUAUCAAU
rnacentral:rRNA from 1 species